rnacentral:tRNA from 4 species
UUCCUCGGUAGCUCAGUGGUAGAGCGAUCGGCUGUUAACCGAUUGGUCGUAGGUUCGAAUCCCACCCGAGGAGU